rnacentral:lncRNA from 1 species
GCGGAGAAGUUUAUUCAAGACAAUCCAUAGUAAGGCUUAACACACCAAUAUACACAUGAAGAAGAACUUCUUCGCAUCACGGAACAGAUGCAACCAGACGUAGAAAACCUAUUACUAGCAUUCGGGAUCGACAUUGCCACAAUAGGAGCCACAAGAGCGCCCACUCAUCCAACUUCUGAUGUAACGCAACCCGAUCCUGCACAUACAAAAACAAGAGCCAAUAUCAGUCAAGAGAUGAUGUAACUCAUGAAGGACCAAAUUGCAUUUGAGGAAAGUCACACCCUGAUAGAAUACUUGAGGAAAAAUCCUGGCCCAAGCAUACUCCACGAGUGGGCCACAAGAGUUCUACACAACUCCUACACCUCAACAACGAUGCUUGGGGGAGGUUACUUCAAAAUAUAAUUUAUGAGCAAACAAGGAAAACUACACAUGCUAUCUAAACCAUAUCAAUUCAACAACGAAGAUAUAUUAUUUUCCACCUGGAGAGCCGACUUCGACCUGGAAUCGGAAACCGACACGCACCAAACCUCCUCCCAAAUCUGGGCACAACUCCGAGGCUUAAGAAGGAUUUUUCGCACAACACAGUUUCUCACAGAAGCCUUUUCCACUAUCGAAGAAGUCAUAGCCGUUGACUCCACCAAAUCUUACCAAAACAAAGCUUCUGGUUCUAAGGUUCAGUUACCAGUCUAGGAUGUAGUCAACCUCCCACAUACUUCAGUUCUUCCCAAGAGGUGAACAUGAAUACCGAAUUGACUACAGUGUACUAUCCUCCUAGUGCAAUAGAUGUAGAAGUACUACACACCACGCUAAACACUGUACACUACCGUGGAGAGAAGAGCGCAAGAGAUCCAGAUAGAAAACCCCAACCUUGGAAAACUCGGUAACCGACAACCUCACCCAACACAGACAGACCAAUGGUGAAGAGAAAACAUUGAAAAAUGUAGGACCUAGGAAGAAGAACAGUGCAACUCUUCUACGCACCAAAUACAUCUGGGUAGAAAAGAAACCAACAAAAUCCACAGACACACAUGAAGGACCAGAAAAACCAUCUGAAUCAAUCAUAUACAACUCACCACAUACAAUUGAGCUUUUGGAGAGCUCUGGGAUCAGAACCGCCUUGCAAAGGAACAACUUAUGAGCAAAUUACAGUAGCUUUAGUUUGGUCAUCUCAAAACAACUUCCUUGAAACCCUGGUUUGCAAAGCUAGCGACACUCUGCUGUGCACAACACAACUGACUCACGUCCCAAAGGAGAAGGAUUGGUCAUCAUCAAUCGCUCAAACGCAUAUGGUUAACACCACAAUGCAAAAGCUCCAAACACAGAUAACCAAUAGAGGAAAUGGCCCCAACUUGCUCCGCACCUAGUCAGACGCAAUAUGGGUUUCAGAAUAGCUCAACUAAAAAUCUACUCACACAAACAAUUGGAUUACUAUCUUGCCAUACGACAAAAGCACCACAGCGAUCAAACAUCAAUAAACAAAGCACUGGAAGCAGAUACCAUCAUCAACAUCCCCCCCACAAGCUCUCAUACUAGAAAGGGUAAAGGAGAUAUCAUAUGGCCAAUGGUGUCAGACAAUCAUCCAUCUCCAAGAUUAACACACCCAGGAUGUGAACUCCUCUCCUCUAACUCACUUUGAGCAGAAACUCGGAGAGAACAACACAUCUAUUAUACAUGAAUGAUGGCCUAACAAUGGCCACAUACAACAUCCAGUGCUUAGGCGAAGGACUGGAUGGCGUCAGAAAAUGCUGUAAGCUUCGAAACUUAAUGCAAAAGACCUAUCUCAAACCCAACCUUAUAUUAUUACAAGAACAUCAAUUCAACCAUACUAACUGUACCAAACAAGCUACACAACUAGAUUUUCUACAAGGUACAAUGCUUUGGAACACCGUAGUGUACUCAGCACAAAAAGUGGCUUAGUUGGUGGAACAGCUAUUUUGGUAUCCAACAAACUCACCGAUAACCUAAAAGAACAUGGAGUGAUAGUCUGAGGAAGAGCGCAACGCUCCAUUUUCAAAAUCAGCCCCACAGUUCAAAUAGGCAUUCUAAAUGUCUAUGGUUACAGCCACACAGAACCCCGUGCAAGACUAUGGCAGAAAAUAGCAGACCACCCUUUACCAGAAGCCCUCUGGAUCAUGGGGGGCGAUUCUAAUUUUAUUGAGUCCCUCGAAGACAAGCAGGGUGGGAAUGCCAAUUUAAGACAAGGAACACAAGAAAUGACAGCAUGGAAUAACAUGCUCAUUAAACUAUAAGUUCAAGACAGUUUCCACAUGGGAGAAUUCUGCAAGAUUACCAAUAAACGCUUCACCUGGGAUAACAGAAGCCCAGCCCCGAAGACAGUACUCACCAAGCUAGAUAGAAUAUACAUUGGAGACAAACUCCAAGACUGAGGUGGACUAUGUGGAAUCUGGACAGCACAACCAAUCAUUUCGUAUUACACCCCUGCUUUCAUAAGAUUGAAACCUGCAUGCCGACCUCUACCCUAGAUGCAGUUCUUUGACAAACGACAACUAGAAUCAGUUGAAGGCAGACAACAUGUCACAGGAGCUUGAAAACAGGCCAUAUAAAACACUACAUAAACCAAAUGGAGCGAUAAAAUUGGCCUUACAAGCAGUAUGCAACACGAACCUAAAUAUUGCAAAAAAGAACAGACAGACUUGGAAAAAAUAGUACAAGAAUCAACUAAACCAGACACUCAAUGCCAAACUCCUCGUUCAAGAUAACUGAAAUGACCCAACGACGAGGGACACACUCAACACAACACAGCUAUAAUUACAAAAAAAUUGAUACAACAGGCUAGAAAAACAAUUCACAUUCCUUACAGUCAAAUGGACAAGAGUGAGAGACCGUUGCAACUCUGAGUUCUUUCAACACUACAGAGCUCGUCACUGCAAAGUCCGCAUCAAAGAAUCCAAUGAUAAGGACCGCAUUCAAAAGUUCCAGAAGCACAUGGCGCUUUAUGCACAAAGAUAUUACCAACAACUCUACACCCCAAACUCCACCGUUGAAUGCAAUGUAGACUCCGAAAGAGACACCUUAGCAAGCACUCCUAUAGUAGUCACAGAGGAUCACAACCGAGAGUUAGAACGCCCUAUAACUGCUGAAGAGAUUACAGCGGCAACGAAGAGUCUUCCUAGAAGCAAAGCCCCCAGACUGGACAAGGUACCGACCGAAUUUUUCCAAGAAUGUUGGAGGGAAAUUGGCCCCGACAUGGUGGAACUCAUCAAAGAGGUUCUCUCACAAGAAACAUUGCCCAAUAAAUUCAACACCAGCAAUGUAGUACUCAUCCCAAAAUCAGGUGACCUCUCUCUGAUCACAAACUACCACCUAAUUUCUAUUCUAAGCACAAUAUACAAAAUCAUAGCAAAAGCAUUGGCUAACAGACUAGUUCCUCACCUACCAAGAUGGAUUCAAAAAUCUUAAACAGGAUUUACUAGAGGAAGAUGUAUAUUUGAUAACGUCUUCCUAGCCACAGAAGCCAUGUCUUGGGCAGAAGAGAGCAAUCAGGACCUAGCCCUAAUACUUUGACAUUGAAAAAGCAAAUGAUCGCAUCGGUUGGAUUUUUUCGCAAGAUGCGAUGACACAAUUAGGUUUCUCCAACGAAUGGAUCACGUGGACAAUGGCUCUCAACAAUGAAGCUGAGGCAGUAAUAACCAUCAACGGAGAGCAAGGACAAUCCUUCAAGCUAGAGAGGUCAAUUCGCCAGAGGUGCCUCUUGGCACCCUACCUAUUUCUAUUUGCUGCCACCUUACUAGAAUAUGUGCUAGACGAUCCCAAGCACAACAUAGAAGGGCUCAUCCUAUCCAACCAAACCAGUCACACUAACUCUAUGUUUGCCGACGACACCUCACUAUUCCUCAAAAGAGAACCAAACAACAUGCAACAAACACUGAGAGUGUUAGACACGUACUAUGAAGCCUUCAGAGCUAAGAUUAACUGGCAUAAAACUCCGACAAUCUGGGUCUCCCAAAAAACACGAACCUUUAAUUGGAGAAAUGUGCAUGGUCUAACAUAGGUACGAACAGGAAUCCCAGUGCGCUACCUAGGCUUUCCAAUCGGAUUCCACAUGCCUCCAAAAGAGAACGGAGCCAAAAUCCUACAGCAAAUCAUAAGACAACUUAUCAAAUGGGGGCCCAAACAAUUAUCUUUAGCAGGCGAGAUAAUGAUCCUCAACUAAGUGGUCCUGGAUUCAAUAUGGUUCCUAGUUUCAUGCGCCAAUGUAGAAAAUAAAAUCUUCAAACAAAUGUGAUCUUUGGUAAGGAACUACCUAUUGUCCGGGAUCACCACAUGAACCACAAGAGCCAAGGUACAAUAGAAUACCAUCAUCCAAAUACUAACUCACGGAGGUCUAAAGGUCCUAGAACUUGAACUCCAAGCCAGAGCCCUCAUCGCAAAGCUGAUCACCUGUGGCAUGGCACCCGGAGUAGAACCAUAAAAAAUCCUACUUGGGCACUGGAUAACAGAAAUCCAAUACAGCAAGGGAGGAGAUUGGUACCAUAGCCCGCACUAGAUUACGGGAAACAAAAUAAAACUCAAACCCCAAGGCUCACCGUUGUGGCUCAAUGUGAGGUCAGUAUGUCAAGAAAUUCAACCUGGUCUGCAACAACAACCACCACAAUUUCUAGACAAACUGAUGUGCCAGCCUCUCUUCAACAACACACUGAUAAGAGACUCAAACGGAACGAUAUGGGGCCAAAACCUCCAGGACAAGUUCAAUCUAUGAACGAGAAAGGGAGUGCGGACUUGCGGGGACCUUUAGAACGCCACUUCAGAGGAUUGGCAUAUCGAGUCAACCCUGCAACACCGCACAGAAAGCCGCUUAAUUAAAGUUUAGAAAACCACAAUGCUCACAAACAUUCCAUGGCACUCGGGAAACAGACAACCUUACAUAGCCAUAGAGUGGUGGGCAAUUGAUACACAGGGAACCAUAGUCAAGAUAUUCUAUAC